rnacentral:rRNA from 1 species
GACGAACGCUGGCGGCGUGCCUAAUACAUGCAAGUUGAGCGCUGAAGGUUGGUACUUGUACCAACUGGAUGAGCAGCGAACGGGUGAGUAACGCGUGGGGAAUCUGCCUUUGAGCGGGGGACAACAUUUGGAAACGAAUGCUAAUACCGCAUAAAAACUUUAAACACAAGUUUUAAGUUUGAAAGAUGCAAUUGCAUCACUCAAAGAUGAUCCCGCGUUGUAUUAGCUAGUUGGUGAGGUAAAGGCCCACCAAGGCGAUGAUACAUAGCCGACCUGAGAGGGUGAUCGGCCACAUUGGGACUGAGACACGGCCCAAACUCCUACGGGAGGCAGCAGUAGGGAAUCUUCGGCAAUGGACGAAAGUCUGACCGAGCAACGCCGCGGGAGUGAAGAAGGGUUUCGGAUCGUAAAACUCUGUUGGUAGAGAAGAACGUUGGUGAGAGUGGAAAGCUCAUCAAGUGACGGUAACUACCCAGAAAGGGACGGCUAACUACGUG